rnacentral:rRNA from 1 species
AGAGUUUGAUCCUGGCUCAGGAUGAACGCUGGCGGCGUGCUUAACACAUGCAAGUCGAACGAACCUUCGGGUUAGUGGCGGACGGGUGAGUAACGCGUGAGAAUCUGCCCUCAGGAGGGGGAUAACGGUUGGAAACGACCGCUAAUACCCCAUAUGCCGCGAGGUGAAAUGAAUUUCGCCUGAGGAUGAGCUCGCGUCUGAUUAGUUAGUUGGUGGGGUAAAGGCCUACCAAGACAUCGAUCAGUAGCUGGUCUGAGAGGAUGAUCAGCCACACUGGGACUGAGACACGGCCCAGACUCCUACGGGAGGCAGCAGUGGGGAAUUUUCCGCAAUGGGCGAAAGCCUGACGGAGCAACGCCGCGUGAGGGAUGAAGGCCUCUGGGCUGUAAACCUCUUUUAUCAAGGAAGAAGAUCUGACGGUACUUGAUGAAUAAGCCACGGCUAAUUCCGUGCCAGCAGCCGCGGUAAUACGGGAGUGGCAAGCGUUAUCCGGAAUUAUUGGGCGUAAAGCGUCCGCAGGCGGUCUGUCAAGUCUGCUGUUAAAGCGUGGAGCUUAACUCCAUUUCGGCAGUGGAAACUGACAGACUAGAGUGUGGUAGGGGCAGAGGGAAUUCCCGGUGUAGCGGUGAAAUGCGUAGAUAUCGGGAAGAACACCAGUGGCGAAGGCGCUCUGCUGGGCCAUAACUGACGCUCAUGGACGAAAGCCAGGGGAGCGAAAGGGAUUAGAUACCCCUGUAGUCCUGGCCGUAAACGAUGAACACUAGGUGUCGGGGGGAAUCGACCCCCUCGGUGUCGUAGCCAACGCGUUAAGUGUUCCGCCUGGGGAGUACGCACGCAAGUGUGAAACUCAAAGGAAUUGACGGGGGCCCGCACAAGCGGUGGAGUAUGUGGUUUAAUUCGAUGCAACGCGAAGAACCUUACCAGGGUUUGACAUCCUGCGAAUCUCUUGGAAACGAGAGAGUGCCUUCGGGAACGCAGUGACAGGUGGUGCAUGGCUGUCGUCAGCUCGUGUCGUGAGAUGUUGGGUUAAGUCCCGCAACGAGCGCAACCCACGUCGUUAGUUGCCAGCAUUUAGUUGGGCACUCUAGCGAGACCGCCGGUGAUAAACCGGAGGAAGGUAUGGAUGACGUCAAGUCAUCAUGCCCCUUACAUCCUGGGCUACACACGUACUACAAUGCUACGGACAAAGGGCAGCAAACUCGCGAGAGCUAGCAAAUCCCAUAAACCGUGGCUCAGUUCAGAUCGUAGGCUGCAACUCGCCUACGUGAAGGAGGAAUCGCUAGUAAUCGCAGGUCAGCAUACUGCGGUGAAUACGUUCCCGGGCCUUGUACACACCGCCCGUCACACCAURRGUUGGCCACGCCCGAAGCCGUUACUCCAACCCUUGUAKUAGGACGUCGAAGGUGGGGCUGAUGACUGGGGUGAAGUCGUAACAAGGUAACC